GACAAACGCUGGCGGCGUGCCUAAUACAUGCAAGUCGAACGCAGUGGGGACGGGUGAGUAACACGUGGGUAACCUCCCAUCAGAGGGGAGAAAACUUGGAAACAGGUGCUAAACCGAUACUGAUGGAUGGACCCGCGGUGCAUUAGCUAGUUGGUGAGGUAACGGGUCACCAAGGCCACGAUGCAUAGCCGACCGGAGAGGGUGAUCGGCCACACGGGGACUGGGACACGGCCCAGACUCCUACGGGAGGCAGCAGUAGGGAAUCUUCGGCAAUGGACGAAAGUCUGACCGAGCAACGCCGCGUGAGUGAAGAAGGUUUUCGGAUCGUAAAACUCUGUUGUUAGAGAAGCGUUAUCUAACCAGAAAGCCACGGCUAACUACGUGCCAGCCGCCGCGGUAAUAC
rnacentral:rRNA from 1 species